UACGGAAGGCAGCAGUGGGGAAUAUUGCACAAUGGGCGCAAGCCUGAUGCAGCCAUGCCGUGUGUAUGAAGAAGGCCUUCGGGUUGUAAAGUACUUUCAGUCGUGAGGAAGGUGUUAAGGUUAAUAACCUUAGCAAUUGACGUUAGCGACAGAAGAAGCACCGGCUAACUCCGUGCCAGCAGCCGCGGUAAUACGGAGGGUGCGAGCGUUAAUCGGAAUUACUGGGCGUAAAGGGCACGCAGGCGGUUAAUUAAGUUGGAUGUGAAAUCCCCGGGCUUAACCUGGGAAUGGCAUUCAAGACUGGUUAGCUAGAGUCUUGUAGAGGGGGUAGAAUUCCAUGUGUAGCGGUGAAAUGCGUAGAGAUGUGGAGGAAUACCGGUGGCGAAGGCGGCCCCUGGACAAAGGCUGACGCUCAUGUGCGAAAGCGUGGGGAGCGAAACAGGGAUUAGAUACC
rnacentral:rRNA from 1 species